AAGUCGUAACAAGGUUUCCGUAGGUGAACCUGCGGAAGGAUCAUUAACACGUGAUUUCUCACGUAUAAUCCACUCGCAACGUAAAUUCCUCUUGCCGUUGGAGGGUCAUCGAUGGACGAUAGCGUACGCCUGAGACUACUCGGCUUGCCCAUCGGUUUGCUGUACCAGCAAUGAGACAGCGCCCAGGACGACAAGAGCGUAUCGAUUCGGUAUUACUAAAGCCUGUAUGCUAGGCAUAGGUACCGGACAGGUUUAUUUUACUUUUUAUUUUUCUUACUAAUUCUUUGUUUAAUUACUCGAAUUCCUGGUCUAAUCAGCCGGUUGUAGUUCGUCUAGUUAACAACUCAUUAAUUACAAAACAACUCUUAGCAACGGAUAUCUUGGUUCUC
rnacentral:misc_RNA from 1 species